UAUCCCCUCUCCCUUCUCGGUUGAAGGGAGAUCCGGACCAGGGUCUCCCCCGAGAUUCCCAAGAGACCCACUGAAAAUCAAAGGGGAGAAACGUCCACGCCUUCCUAACUGGCGUUAAGCCUCCCGAUUCAUUCCAAUGGGUCUGUUCCGUGUGCUCUGUGCUGGUGCCCUCAAAAAGGGGAGCUGGGGGCUAGAGUACAAACCCCAUCAUCCCCAAACGGCCAGACCAGAAGAGGCUACACUAACCACUGCACAUUCCCAACGCAACUUUUUGAAGCCCUGUGGGACACCCACCAUCUUGGCUAGAAAUGACCUAUGCAGAGCAAACAAGCAUAAGCUGGAAGCCAUAUACCGAGGAAGGUUGGCCCCAAUCCCUAAGGAAGUUUACUCAAAAGCAAACCUCCAUGUCCUCCUAGAUGUAACUCUUUCGGAGUGGGCCUGGGACCGACUGUCUUUCUGAAUCUCCUCCUCCUCCAUCACUUGGUCCUUAAUUUUUUUCCCCUCUAUCCUACCGAAUCUCUCCAGGUAAGGGAAAACCCACAGGGCAAUCCUGUACAAACGGUUUCCUCAGGGGUAAGUCUCUCCUCAGGGAGCCCAGACUUGCGUUGGGGGUGGGGAGGGAGGAAAACCACAUCAAGGACUCCUUCUGAAAUCAAUAAUUUACUUCCAAUUUUAACAUUUCAGGACCAGCGCCUAUUUUGCUUUAUUAUCUGCGGUGGCCUUUCCUGGCCGCCUAACAGCCUGCGCCGGGAGCAACGAAAUGGGGUUCUAAAGACUGGUUUAGCCUACCUGAUAAGACACUAUAUAUUCAAUAUAUAGUAGGUCGCUGAGAUUGACGCUCUCCGGGUCGCUCUUUCCUUCCCCUGAAUCCCUUUGUAAAUGCAUCUUUUCAGCCAGCUUCUCCCCGUGUCACUUGAAUCCCCAACGGGCGUCAUUAAUUAAUAAAUAAUAAUUAACAAUAAUAGUG